UUUCGAGCAUUAGGAUCUUCUUCCUUUCCUUUCUUAUCGCCUUUCUCUCUGUCAUAACGAGCCUAGUUGCUCUUGGCCAGAUCUUCAAACUUUGACUCUUCCUUUGCAGAUAUGGUCUUCCAUCUCUCGGGGCUUUUCUUUCAGAACUCACGGAAGUUGACUGGGGAGCUGGCGAGCCUCUUGUGCUCCUUCCGGCAGGUCUGCGGGAAGAAGGCUUUCGAGGACUUUGCGCCUUGUGGCUUGGAGCCUCUCUUGCCCAUUCUGACUGCAGCUGGCACGGGCUUUCCCCUCAGAGCCCAACAGAGAUACUUCCUUCCGGAAGCUCCAGUGUGAACGCUCCACUUCAACCUUUGAUGUUUCUUACCUUCUGUGCUUCUGUUGUUUGAAGAAAGUCUUCGGCCUUCAUGGAGACAGAUACAAGAAGGAAGGAAGGACCUAGAAAUUUGCCCUGUACUUCUUAGACCUCCUUUGACUUUUGGAACAGAAAAAAAAAAAAAAAAAACCUUGACAGUGGGUAAAAUCUCUUAAGCGACGUGAGUAGGAUUUAAAAUAAAUUUAUUUCUAGGUAUUUUGUAAA